rnacentral:rRNA from 1 species
CCUACGGGAGGCAGCAGUGGGGAAUACUGCGCAAUGGGGGAAACCCUGACGCAGCGACGCCGCGUGAGCGAAGAAGGCUUUAGGGUCGUAAAGCUCUGUUGUAAGGGACGAAGGGAGUGCUGCGAAUAGUGGCGCUAGGUGACGGUACCUUACGAGGAAGCCCCGGCUAACUACGUGCCAGCAGCCGCGGUAAU